rnacentral:lncRNA from 1 species
GAAGUUACCGAAAUUUUUGGAUUUCCUCCUAAGCUGCAGUUGACAGCAUAUAUUUUUGGUUUCGUAUAUCAUGUUUAAUAGCUCGAAUUCGUGGAUUUGCAUGUUCUUUGAAAUCUGAAUUUAGAGCAUAGUUAGUGGUUUAAAUAAAUUAUACAUGUUGAACUUGGAUUUGACUUAGGAGAAAACUAUAACUUCUACACUGUCAGUUUUCUGAAAACUAUCAGAUUUAGUUUUAGGAGCUGUAGUUUGGUUGUAUUGCUGCAGUUUGUAUGCUGUGGAUAUCCUAAUUAAUAUAAGAUGAAUUUACACUUGUGCUGGGAUGUCGAAUUUAUUUUUACAGUAUUGUGUACGCUGUUUCGGAUUAUCGGGUACCGUCGCUGUUGACGGUGAAAAUAGAUUCCUGUUUUUGCAUCAAAUUGGCCGAGAGCACGUGAGUUUUGGUUGUUAGACCCAUUUGCCUUGACUAUAGCCUGUGAGAGCCUGAUUGAGCUCGGCAGAGAUACGCUUAUAUACUCGAUUGGGUAGCGCCCACGA